AUUUGAUUCUCCUAAUUACUCUCAAAUCAGUAUUAUCUCUAUGAACAGGAAAACAAAAUCGGUGAGGUGCUAAGUAGCAAUCACACAGCUAGUAAGUGGCAGAGCAAGAAUUAAGACCUGGGAGCCAUAGAAAAAAGCCUGAGAGAAUCAAAAUGUUAGCAGUUGUCACCCCAGGGAAGCACUGGGGAGACCCAGGGAGAGGCUUCACUUUUUAAAACCGUAACCUCAACAAACAAACUCAGUUCUAAACCGCUGCUCAUUUUAUUUUAUUUUAAUAUUUGCAGGUAGGCUUUGGGAGGUACUUUUCAGAGAAUAAACUGAAAUAAUUAACAAAUGCCAGCACAGUGCCAGGCAGAAGGAAAGGCUGCUGGCUAAGUGACGGAUGCGCGUGUGGAGGCUGAGGCAAGGGGCGUCAGAGGGUGGGGCAGGGCUGGAGGAGCGUGAGUCACCAGCCCUGAGCUGCUGGUUUCCAGUCCUUUCUGCGCCUGGGCUGAGCUUCUCGCCUGCCUGCCCCGUCCCAGCAGCUUCAGAAGGUGGCUGGGGGCAGGCGUUUCUGGAGCUCCUGCUCCCUGUAAGGUAUACAAUACAAUGACAUUCAUCAUUGGGAAUCUGUACCUUUACAAGAAAUGUCUCGUGCUGGGAGCGAUGUGCUGUAGAUCACUACGG
rnacentral:lncRNA from 1 species